AUGUCUGUGGUUAAGGACAACACCCAACAACAUAACCCUUCAGCUAUUUCCAGAAUCCUCUCCUAUCAAUUUCAUCUAUUCAUUAUAGGGAGCAAAAUGUUGCUAAAACUUCUGUCCAUACUUGUAGUCCUCAAAGGAGUCAAAUCUCAAGUUCAGUUGGUGGAGUCUGGAGGGGAGGUGAGAAGACCUGGAGAGUCCCUCCGUCUCUCCUGCCAGGCCUCUGGAUUCACAUUCAGCAGCUACUGGAUGGACUGGGUGAGACAGGCUCCAGGGAAAGGCCUGGAAUGGGUGGCAUACAUAGACACCAGUUAUAACGCUUACUACUCUGACAAAGUGAAGGGACGCUUCACCAUCUCCAGGGACAAUGCCAAAAGCCAGCUGUAUCUGCAAAUGAACAGCCUCAAAACCGAAGACACGGCUGUCUAUUACUGUGCACGAGACACAGUGAGAGGAAGUGAAUCUGAAGCCAAACAAAAACCUUUCUUCUCCUUUCUUCAGAACAGCUCUUCAGAUGACUGA